CUGAAUUUUUUGCCCAUUUUUAUUGGAUUUUUUGUGGGAUUUUUCACAGAAUUUCCACCAAAAAAUUCAUUAAUUUUUUCGUGGAAAUUUUGCCUCGAUUUCCAUGUAUUUUCACAUAUUUUGAUGAAUUUUUCAGCGAUUUUGGCCAAAUUUUAGCGUAUUUUCACCAAAAUUUUAGCGUAUUUUCACCAAAAUUUUAAUUUUUUCCCACCUGGGUGGAAAAUCCCAGAAUUUCCCCCCCAAAAAAACCCCAAUUUCCGCAGAAUUUUUGCUGAAUUGUCUCGGAAUUUUCGUGAAAUUUUCCUGGAUUUUUUGUGGAAAUUUUCCUGGAAUUUUUUGUGGAAUUUUCCUGGAAUUUUUUGUGAAAUUUUUGCUGAAUUUCUGCCAGAAUUUUUGCAGAAUUUUCACUGAAUUUUCACUGAAUUUUCACUGAAUUUUCACAGAAUUUUCACUGAAUUUCUGUGGAUUUUUAAGGCAAUUUUUGGGUGGAAUUUUCAUGAAAUUUUCACAGGAUUUUUACUGAAUUUCUGCUGGAAUUUUCACUAAAUUUCCGUGGAACUUCUGCCAAAAUUUUAGCUGAAUUUCAGCUAAAUUAUCGCUAAAUCUCUUCUGAAUUUUUUGCCCGUUUUUGUAGGAAUUUUAGUGGGAUUUUUUCACAGAAUUUCCACAAAAAAUUUCAUUACCUUUUCGUGGAAAUUUUGCUUGAAUUUCCAUGGAUUUUCACCAAAUUUUCCCGUAUUUUAAUGGAAUUUUCACUGAAUUUCUGCUGGAAUUUUAACAGAUUUUUGGGUGGAAUUUUCGCUUAAUUUUCAUUGAAUUUUUUCUGAAUUUUUUUCUGAAUUUUCUUGCAAAAAUUUAAUGAAAUUUUUGUGGAAAUUUUGCUUAAAUUUCCAUGUAUUUUCACCAAAUUUUCGCUUAUUUUGAUGGAAUUUUCACUGAAUUUCUGCUGGAAUUUUAGCGGAUUUUUGGGUGGAAUUUUCACUGAAUUUUCACUGAUUUUUUUUCAGUAUUUCCCCUCAAAUUUUUGUAAAAAAUUUCAUAAAAUUUUUAUAGAAAUUUUACCUGAAUUUCCAUGUAUUUUCACCAAAUUUUCGCAUAUUUUGAUGGAAUUUUCACUGAAUUUGUGCUGGAAUUUUAGCAGAUUUUUGGGUGGAAUUUUUGCUGAAUUUUCACUGAAUUUUUUCCGAAUUUCUUGCAAAAAUUUAAUGAAAUUUUGGUGGGAAUUUUGCUUGAAUUUCCAUGUAUUUUCGCCAAAUUUCCGCGUAUUUUGACGGAAUUUUCGCGUAUUUUCACCAAAUUUCUUUGCUUUUUGACCUAAAAUUCUGGAAUUUUUUCCCCGCAGUCUCGGCCCGUGCCCCGGAUUUGUUCCCGCUGUCCCCGUGCGGCGCCAGCUCCCUGUUCUCCGUCGGCUGCGUCGCCGUCGGCUUCGUGCCGGAGCCAGUCGGCUUCGCCUGGAGCGACAGCCGGAACCAAAGCGUGGCCGGCGCCGCCUUCCCGGCGCUGCCGAGUUCCGGAACCUUCCUGGCGGCCUCGCGGCUGGGCAUGGAGCUGGAGGAGGGGAAAUCCCGGCAGCCCUUCCGCUGCCAGGCCCGGCACGCCAAGGGCAGCCGCAGCGUGGAGGUGUUUAACCCAGGCCCCGGCGCCGCACCGCCCUCCUCGCCGUCCCUCACCCUGUUCCCGCCGUCCCGCGAGGAGUUCCAGGGCCCCUACCGCAACUCCACCCUCCUCUGCCAAAUCCGCGGCUCCCGGCGCGGCCUCGGCUCCGCCCCCAUCCGGUGGCGGCGCAACGGCGCCCCCGUCAGCGAGGGCGUGGCCCACGAGGGGCCGGUUCCGGAAGGUUCCGGCGUCUUCGUGGCCGGCAGCCGGGUGGUGGUGACGGAGGCCGAGUGGGAGAGCGGCGUCGUCUUCACCUGCCAGGCCGGGGAGGAGAUGAGGAACACCAGCAAGGCCAUGGAGUGCGGAUACGACGCGCCGCUGGCCGCCGGCGAGAUCCGCGUGGAGCCGGUGCCGCCGCCCUUCGCCGACGUCUUCCGCGAGCGCUCGGCGCGCCUCACCUGCCGCGUCUCCAACCUGCCGGCGCCGGCUGAGGGGCUGGAGGUGACGUGGCUGGGGGAGGACGGCCGGGCCUUGGCCACGGCGACGUCGGCGCCGGCCAUCCAGGCCAACGGGAUGAUGGCGGCCGAGGGCGUGGCCGCGGUGGCCACCGAGGCCUGGGAGUCCGGGCAGGUCUUCACGUGCCGCGUGUCGCACCCCGAGCUGCUCUACCCGCGGGAGGUGACCUUGAGGAAGGCCGCGGUCCCGGACGCGUCCCCGCCCUCCAUCUACCUGCUGGCCCCGCCCCCCGAGCAGCUCCGCCUCCACACCUGGGCCACCCUCACCUGCCUGGUGCGCGACUUCAACCCGCCCGACCUCCUCGUCCAAUGGCUGCAGGACGGCCGGCCCCUCCCACCGGGCCGCGCCAUCACCUUCCGGCCACGCCCCGACAACGGCCACGCCCCUUCCGGCCACGCCCACCUGGCCGUCAGCACCUUGACGGUGCCGGCGCGGGAUUGGGAGGGCGGCGGCGUCUUCACCUGCCUGGUGGGGCACGAGCGGCUGCCGCUGCGGCUGGCGCAGAGGUCGCUGGACAAGGCUGCCGCCCUGCUCGCCGGCGCCGCCCUGGAGGAGGACGAGGAUCUGCGCAGCCUCUGGGCCACGGCCUCGACCUUCAUCGUCCUCUUCAUCCUCAGCCUCUUCUACAGCGCCACCGUCACCCUCAUCAAGGUGAAAUGACCCCAAACCCGGAAGUGCCGGAACCUUCUGGAAUUUUCCCAAAUUUCCCAAAAUUUUCCCUUCCCCUCCCCCCACCCUUGUAAAUAUCCCCCAAAAACCCC